rnacentral:rRNA from 1 species
GCUCAGGACGAACGCUGGCGGCGUGCCUAAUACAUGCAAGUCGAGCGAAUCGAYGGGAGCUUGCUCCCUGAGAUUAGCGGCGGACGGGUGAGUAACACGUGGGCAACCUGCCUAUAAGACUGGGAUAACUUCGGGAAACCGGAGCUAAUACCGGAUACGUUCUUUUCUCGCAUGAGAGAAGAUGGAAAGACGGUUUACGCUGUCACUUAUAGAUGGGCCCGCGGCGCAUUAGCUAGUUGGUGAGGUAAUGGCUCACCAAGGCGACGAUGCGUAGCCGACCUGAGAGGGUGAUCGGCCACACUGGGACUGAGACACGGCCCAGACUCCUACGGGAGGCAGCAGUAGGGAAUCUUCCGCAAUGGACGAAAGUCUGACGGAGCAACGCCGCGUGAACGAAGAAGGCCUUCGGGUCGUAAAGUUCUGUUGUUAGGGAAGAACAAGU